CGCAUUUUUCCAGAAAUCAAUGGGAGAAAUAAAUGGGAAAUUUACUUCCAGAACCCGAGGUCUCUCAGAGGAGGGGCGGGACUGUCGAGCUCUAUAGAAGAACAUGAAUGU